rnacentral:sRNA from 18 species
AUGACGCGCUUUAAAUACACACACGUUUCGGCACAUAUGAUAGGGUCCCUUUGUGGGUUUCGUAUGGGAAGCGUGGAGGAAUAAC